rnacentral:ncRNA from 2 species
GCGCCCGUCGUUGGGGAGUAGCCGAUUUCCUUUCCCGGAAAUGUACGUAUCAACAUACUCGUUGCAAAACGUGGUACGUACGGAUGACCAGCCCGCUGGUGCAUCAGGCGAGACCAUAGACACAUCCGCUGCUGUACGCCGGUUAUGGCGUAUGUUUACUGGGGGCAGUGAUGUGUCAUAU